rnacentral:rRNA from 1 species
GAGAGAGACAUGCGCGCAUAUCAAUAAGCGGAGGAAAAGAAACUAACAAGGAUUCCCUUAGUAACGGCGAGUGAAGCGGGAAGAGCUCGAAUUUGAAAUCUUCAAGGUUCUACCUUGACGAAUUGUAGUUUAUAGAAGUGUUUUCUGUUAGUGGAGUGGCAAAAGUUCUUUGGAAUAGGACAUCAUAGAGGGUGAGAAUCCCGUAUUUGGUCAUUCCUCCUAGCGUUGUGAUACACUUUCAACGAGUCGGAUUGUUUGGGAAUGCAGUCCAAAAUGGGUGGUAAAUUUCAUCUAAAGCUAAAUAUUGGCGAGAGACCGAUAGCGAACAAGUACCGUGAGGGAAAGAUGAAAAGAACUUUGAAAAGAGAGUUAAACAGUACGUGAAAUUGUCAAAAGGGAAGCGUUUGACACCAGUGUUGUUUUUCCGAAAAUCAAUUACGAAUGUUUUAUUUUUGAGGAGUUAUGACUUCAUCGGCUUGCUUCUCUCUUUACGAAACUUUCUUAAUGCACUUUUCGGUUAACAAGUCAACAUCAAUUUCUUUUGUUGUAAAAGGGUAUGAGGAAGGUGGCUUUCUUUUCGGAGAAAGUGUUUAUAGCCUUGUACCUCUGCAAUCGGAGAGAUUGAGGUCUGCAGCGUAGAUCCUUCGGGGUUAGAUACAUUUGUGCUAAGUUAUAGCUUUCAUAGACAACUUGUUGACUAUGAUUAAGUCAUUGUAGCUUACUCGCUUAUGCUAUUUUACCUACGCUUAGGAUGUUGAUAGUCACAGCGUGUAC